AAAAAUCCAGAAUUUUUUUAUUUCUAAUUUUGUUGGUUGAAAUGGUAAAUGUGUAGAUAUUUAUGUUUAUAAGUGCGUAUAACGAAUUUCUAUUUGUUUUUGUCGAUAUAAUCAUGUUUUCAGUUGCAUUUAUUGGGUUUCUCCUGAAUUUAUGAAGCAGUUGGGUAAUGGAUAAUCUCGUAUUUACUAUGGUCGGUGAGUGGAGAUACAAAGAAGAAAAAUGGAAAUUUGAACCAGAGGAAAACAUGUUUGGUCGCUGUGUACGUGUUAAGGAAAACAUGACGUACACGGAAUUUGUAUGUACACUAAGCGAGACUUUCAGUUUGAAGUCCAUAGAUCAAUCCCAUAAUUAGUUACUGGAUACGGGAGAGAUGUUAGUGAUGAUAGAUACUAAACGCCCUCCUGUCUACAUUGACAGUCAAGUGAGGGUGGGAUACGAUUUUUUUUAUUCGUGGUGGGUAUCCUUCUCUCAACUUGUUUGUCUCUUUCAUUACAACCGUCAAGACACUCGGGAAUAAUGUCUCUAGGACUCAUGGUGACGAUGCUGAAAGUGACCGUGUGUGUGAUAGUGUUUUAAAUGUUGAUGAAAAUAAUGAGGCCAUAGAUUAGUAAGACGAGAUUGAAGACGAUAAAACAGAUGAGGAUGAAGAUGGGGGGACAACGAAGAUGGUGAUGGGUAUGAUGAUUAUCAGGGUGACGAUGGAUCUAUGGGGGAAGUACCAUCGAUCCUACUAUUGAUGGUAGUGAAAGUAGUGGCGAAGAUUAUGAUUACAACAAGUGGAACGAUGAAAUUGUAGAAGAAUAUGGAAUAGGGAAUGUUGAGGAGAACGUCAUUCUCACACAGCUGAUUGUUCAACAUCCAAGGGAAUUCAGUCUUCUGUUGGCAGAGUGUACGUACACAAGUCAGCGUGUACCUGGCGGAGAUAACAUUUCUCACCCGGGUGACCGUACACCAGCUGUGACUCCAAGAAGUAUGUGUCAACAUGGUUUGUACCAAUGUACGUACACUAUAGAUUGGAGAGUGUUUUUAAGAACAGAAAAGUCAUACAACAAACAAUGUCUUAUCUCGCAAUCAAACAAUCUUUUUGCUACAAGCAACCUAGGUCAUAUCCUACAAGAUUGGUGAUGGUAUGCGUUGAUGAUACUUGUCCAUGACAUUUGACUGCUCAAGUCGUCAAGAAUUCAGAAUAUUUCAAAAUCACAUCGUAUGAACGUCUUAGAAUAUAUCUCGCCCACUGCCAAUAUUGGUUUAAUAUUGUACCAAUAAAAUUUUCUUAAUAAUUUAAUUUACAAACAAAGAUGUACGUAUAUUAUUACACAUGUACAUACAUUAAUUUACCAACAAAAAUAUACGUACAUUAUUACACAUAUACGUACAUAAUUUUCAAUAUGAGGAACAAAUAUUAUUUCACCAUCUAUAUCUAUUUAAUUAUUAUGUAUGUAUGGAGAUUAUUGAGAUAUAAGAAUACGUAAUAAAAUAGCUUGACUUAUUAGAAAUCGUACCAUAUACGUUCGACUAAAUAAUUUUGUGUACGUACACUGUAAAUUGAAUAUACGUACACAGAAGAAAUUUAAUGAAGGGUAUAAUUAUAAUUUUCCAGUCAUCUUCAACCUGUGUAUCCUUUUCUGCAAACCUAAUUUUGCGGCCAUCUUUAGCAGUUUUCUCAAAAUCUCAUUUUUUAUACGUUUUAAUUACUAUUUAUAUAUAAAUCUUGUAAACCUAGAGUAUCUUUAGUUUAAAAAGCUAAAUUGUUUGAAUCUGUGAUUUUUUUUUGCAUUUUGUUCAUCUCUGAAAACAAGAAAUUUCUUCCUCAAUUUUGGAGUUCAAUGGAGAGAUGUCGAAAUAUGAAGAAGUGGAUAAUGAAGUUUGAACUUCUUUCUACUUCUCUUUCAAAUCUCUCCAUCUCUUUCUUUUCCUCUUUUUCUUCUUCUUUGGUUUCUUCGUUUCAGUUUUUUUUUCU
rnacentral:sRNA from 1 species